AUUGAACGCUGGCGGCAGGCCUAACACAUGCAAGUCGAGCGGAGCGGCGGACGGGUGAGUAAUGCCUAGGAAUCUGCCUGGUAGUGGGGGAUAACGUCAGGAAACGGGCGCUAUAACCGCAUACUAUCAGAUGAGCCUAGGUCGGAUUAGCUAGUUGGUGGGGUAAAGGCCUACCAAGGCGACGAUCCGUAGCUGGUCUGAGAGGAUGAUCAGUCACACUGGAACUGAGACACGGUCCAGACUCCUACGGGAGGCAGCAGUGGGGAAUAUUGGACAAUGGGCGAAAGCCUGAUCCAGCCAUGCCGCGUGUGUGAAGAAGGUCUUCGGAUUUUAAAGCACUUUAAGUUGGGAGGCGUUACCCACAGAAUAAGCACCGGCUAACUUCGUGCCAGCCGCCGCGGUAAUAC
rnacentral:rRNA from 1 species